rnacentral:rRNA from 1 species
UUGAACGCUGGCGGCAUGCCUUACACAUGCAAGUCGAACGGCAGCACGGGAGCAAUCCUGGUGGCGAGUGGCGAACGGGUGAGUAAUAUAUCGGAACGUGCCCAAUCGUGGGGGAUAACGCAGCGAAAGCUGUGCUAAUACCGCAUACGCCCUGAGGGGGAAAGCGGGGGACCUUCGGGCCUCGCGCGAUUGGAGCGGCUGAUGUCGGAUUAGCUAGUUGGUGGGGUAAAGGCCUACCAAGGCGACGAUCCGUAGCUGGUCUGAGAGGAUGAUCAGCCACACUGGGACUGAGACACGGCCCAGACUCCUACGGGAGGCAGCAGUGGGGAAUUUUGGACAAUGGGCGCAAGCCUGAUCCAGCCAUGCCGCGUGAGUGAAGAAGGCCUUCGGGUUGUAAAGCUCUUUCAGACGGAAAGAAAUCGGGCGCGUGAAUAGCGUGCCUGGAUGACGGUACUGUCAGAAGAAGCACCGGCUAACUACGU